CUGCACUAGUCGGGGAGAUAGCGGUGCCCUGUAACCCGCAAUCCGCUACAGCGGGGAUGAAUUCCCGACCCAGGAUCUGCGUUUCGCCGCCUGUCUUUCGCCCCUUUGGCGUUGACGAGUCGGUCUCGCGCAACGAAUCACCGUGAACCAUGUCAGGCGGGGAACCGAGCAGCAUUCAGCGGACCGCUUCGUGUGCCGCGGGGACGCCGCCUCUGAGCUGAAGACGAAAGCAACGGGCGGAACGCAGUUUCAAAGUCGGGUGUGCGG
rnacentral:SRP_RNA from 1 species